rnacentral:rRNA from 1 species
GACGUAGGUGGCAAGCGUUAUUCGGAAUUACUGGGCGUAAAGGGUUCGUAGGGGGUUUCUUAAGUCUGAUGUGAAAGCCCAUGGCUCAACCAUGGAACGGCAUUGGAAACUGGGAAACUUGAGGACGGGAGAGGAGAGUGGAAUUCCUGGUGUAGCGGUGGAAUGCGUAGAUAUCAGGAGGAACAUCAAUGGCGAAGGCAGCUCUCUGGACCGAUCCUGACCCUGAGGAACGAAAGCUGGGGGAGCAAACAGG